CUGAGCAUAAAUAUCUCCACGUUGAGUGAUGUCCAGGUUUUCCAGGUCACCGGGCGCUGCAUCUCUGAAACCAGCUCCACGAGGCGACCCAUACAGGAAGGCAGGGAAGUCCAUGUAGGUCACCCACAAGUCCAAUGUUCUUGCACAGAGCUGAAAUUAGCAGUGUGGGUCUUGCUUCUUGAAAUUAUUCACAUGUUCUCUGAGAAGCUGCCCUUUUUCCAGGAAGCCUCUCACGCUCAGAGGGGAACAGACUUCUCUGGGUCCUACAAAUAUCUACAAAUGAGGUUAGUAUUUCCUGCCUUCCUCAAGAGACGGUGGCCAAUGGCUGCUCUGAGGCUGGACCGUGCAAAGGACAGGUAAGGUGUGGCUGUGUUCAGUCCUUUUCCCCUCUUGUGAACUCUUCAAAUUUUUUUUGAUUGGUAUCAUUCCAAAAAUUAUAAACGAGGAAGAAAUAUGUGUUGUCUCCCAAGAGGCGGUUGAACUUUGCCCAGAAUGCUUAAGAAAACAUCCGGUGGAUGUUUGCUGAGGGAGCUAUGUCAGCUCAUCCUAGAGAUUUCCCUCCGAGAGCAGGGCCAUGGCUGCGAGCGCAAAUGCCAGGAAUAGUUUUGCAUCUCUGAGAUCACUUUGCUGGUGGCCACAGAGCGGUUCCGACCAGCUUCUGCCGCUGUUUAUUCAAGAGAAAGCCGGAGGUUAAGGGUAAUGUAAAAGUCUUAAGAGUCAGGGUUAGGCACAGGAACUGGACUUUUUCAGCAAACAAGAAAAGCAUGCGUGUGGGUCUAAUACUCCUCCGUGUAGAAACAUUCAAAUGUCACAGCUAGGCAGUAAAAGCGCAGCGGGAGGGCAGGUUUUUCCAGACCGGAGCUGAGCCAUGAACAGGCUGGGAUGAGGUCACCCCGGGCUGGAGGCUCCUCCCCAUCCUCUGCUCCCUCCUCCCGGGCCUGCGGGGCAGCAGCACCCGCAGCAGGCCUCUUUCCAGUAGACAGAGUUGGGGGCAGGGACACAGGUCGUGAACGUGUGACUCUACAAGGGGGAAAAGGUAAGGGGAUGACUCAGUUCUGCUCCUUUGAGCUCUAAUCAAAUUAUCUGCAAGAAGUUACAUGCUCUUAGGCCUUCGAAAAGCACUCUUGCUUUAUUUUUCUCAUUUCAUUCACUUCAACAAAUACAGCUUGGCAGCCCAGUGCAAGCAAGUCUUCAGUGGGAGAUCAGUCAAAACUUGCAACAGAACCAGACCUAAAUAGGGGUCUGAAAAUUAAACACAAAUCAGAAAUAGUGAGAUUUCUCAUUUACUCACAGGUGAUGAUUAUAUCCUACCAUGCUGUUGAUGUUAGGUUGUGCACUGGGGACAGGGUCAUCCUCCACAUGGAUCUCUCAUCUGGGAAGACGGUGGCCAGCACACGGGGUCACACACAGACACACACUCACGUCUGCGCAGUGGCUUCUCCCUGGUUCACCCAGUGCAAGGCGAGAGAGUGCUCCAGCCAGGCCCGUGGCGAGGAGUGUGCGGCAGGUGGAUCCGGACCUCACUGCACUGGAGCAGCGUCCCACGAAGUGGCAGCUGGCCUCAGCCCAGGGUGCAGAGGCCACACUCAGCAAGCCCCUGAAGACCAGGCUGCUUUCUCACUGGAAACCCUCCACAUCCUGUUCCUGUCCUGUACUUCCUGGGGCUCGUCAUGUCUGAAAUAAUGAAGAAACUGGUCAGUUCACGAGUCUCUGCACAUCUUCUCUGCCUUCGAAUAAACACAAAGCUUUGCAGCAGCAAGGCCAUGCUUGCCGUGUGCCUGACUCUGUAAUAAGGAGCAUCAAGGUGAGGAUGAAGGAUGGGGAAGGCCCGGGACCCUGCACCCACCAAGGCUCCUGCGUGGGGUCUCUUUGACCAGUCUAGCUCCAUGAUGCUCUCAGGGACAGGCAAGUGCCUCAGACUGAGCCUAUUAAUAUUCUUUCCCGGAAUUCCUCUCCAAGAACUUUUGGAAGAGAUGUUCUUGCGUCACCUAAAUCCUAAGGAAGAAGUUUUCCUGCAGUUUCAUUUGCCAUGCAGAGGAACUCGUCAGUGGCAGAGGGGAACUCACGAUGCCUCUGGUUCCCGGGCAGCCUGAAGGGCACGGGUUCCCCCCAAUACAGAGAGCUUCCAGGCACAGGUCCACUUCCGCACCUUGGCUUCAGUGAAUCUAAGCUUCUGUUUCCUGGGGGUGAAAAUACAUCCAACACAUGUGGAUUGAGUGGUCUGUCAGAACAAAAUCACAGCUUCUCUCAGUGUGAAUUAAGAUCUGUUCUCACCACCCCAUAAGAGCUAAGAGCACACCCAGUCUGUGGGGACGACUAGACAGGUGAAUAAGUGAAAUAACAGUCACUGAAUAUCUUCACAGAAAUUGGGAGCUGUAACUCCACCCCAGACACAGAGCUCUUGCCUGAGGGGUGGGGAAGUCAGCCUUGAGCUAGAAACUGACUGAGCAGAGGCAGAGAGUACCAGUGGGUGUGGAGCUCAUGGGAUGGAGGAGACCGAAGACCGAGCCAGCAUCCUUGGGCUGCCUUGGACCUGCCACUGCAAAUGCUUUGACAGAAAGCCAGGUUCUUCAGAUCCCAGAUAACAGCAGACUUACUGUGCUCAGAGUUUUGUCCCAACGUUGAAAGAACAUGUGUCACCGGUACCAAUGGGCAGGUGAAAUAGAAUGCCACCUCUUCGAAAUUCUAAACCUAGCUUAGGAUAUAGGCUAAGGAGCUUCACACAUACUGUCACUAGAAGACUCGCCCCUUUUCAGUGGGCUGGUGAACCUGUUUACACAGAUCCGCCCUGAAUUCCCCAGCAUAAUUUCCCCUGGAACCUAUAAUCUGCACAUCUGUCCUCUGUUUCAACACACUGUGAACUUCAAGCGCUCGGCUUGUGACACAUGCCUGCGUCGGUACCUUACUAUGUCUGGGGUUGGUGACUCCUUCCACACAGGGCUGGGCUGGGGUCGGAGGACCCAAGGUACAGCGGGGAAGGGAGGAGGAGGAGGAAACACCCAGACCAGGCCCACCUGGCCACCACUGCUUUAGGGCUGUGCCUGCUGAAGUGUUUUCACACGAACUUUCCCCUGGAAGAAGCCAUGGCACUGACCACCCCUGCUCACAACUUCUGUUACUGCAUCAUGGCUUCAUUUUAUUUUAUUGUUAACUGUAGUUUUUAAUGGGCCCUUUCAAUGUUGGCCCAGCAUGCUGGUGAUGUCCUUGCUUGUCAAGUGGAAGCUGGGGCAGUCCUUCUGUGCUGCCGUGGGCUUCCAAAGCCCAGGCGGAGGCAGCAGGAGUCUAUCUGCUGGAUCCGCAGCUCCCCCUGCAUAGACGCUGCCCCAGCACUGCCUGGGGCCCACUCCUGGGUCUGCAGUGUGGCCAGGGCGAGGGAGAGGCAGUUCUGCUGGCUGAGCCCUCAGCUGAGCCCUCCCAGCUGUCUCCCUUCCCCGGGCUCGAGGCUUCCAUCUCCUCAUCCCUCAGACCUUUUCUCCCCAGCCAGUCUGUCCCAUCUCCACAAAGGUGAAAUAGUUGUAGGCAUGCAGUGCCUGUGUGUAUGUUCUUUGAAACAGCUCUAAUUGCUGGUUAGAGCAUCUAAUCGAUGCUAUUUUUAGAGAAAAUUCAUGGCAAGACAAAGGACCAUAUUAACAAUAUUUAUUUUUUAUCAUUUUUCAAGGUAAUAUAAAAACAAAAGUGAGAUUCUAUUUAAACAUCUAAGAAACAGGAGUCAGUGAGAGUCUCAUGGGAGCACUGCACUCUGGAGACUGGGUAUCAGCAAACUUCUGCUCCGAAUGACUGGGGUCAUCUUGAAGGGCUCUAUAACAUCAGUGUACAGUCUGAGAUCAUAUGCUUAUGGUGUGUAAGUGCAACAAAAACAUAGACCCUUGAAUGGAACUAUGGGAGCAUCCAACAGAUGCAGAAUAAACCUCUGUUAACUCCACCACGGACCAGUGUCACACACACUCCAAGGUGCUUCCCUAUGACACAGUGUGUAGUUCCACAUUAACUGACGCACCCUGCACCUUUGACAUUCCUGACGCUUUGUUUUGUGUACCAGGAUCAAAUUCACAACCUCAGGCUUGCCAGGCAGGUGCUUAUGCCACUCAGCUAAAUCCUCGGGGAAAGGGAGAAGCAACUGCAGAAGAAAGUCCACAGAGACUCGAUGGCAGGAGAACGAUAAAAAUCAGAUUAGGAAGCAAUCGUCUAAACUGAAAUGUAUGCUCCCCUUCCUGCCCUCUGUGUCAGAGAACAUCACCGAAAUCCACCAGUUGCCAGUCAGAAGCCUGGAAGCUGAACCCACCUCCUUCCCAGCCUCUGCAGCCGGUUGAUGCCUCUUCUACCUCGUUCCCAAGCCCUCGAGCUUCCUGAAAGUCUGCCCUGGCUGGGAGCUGUGGCAUGUGGGUGGUGCAGGCCUGCGGGAGGCUCCUGUGCUCCCCGUGCUGGGAGGAGGCUCUCAAAGGCUGGCACUGCCUUGGAGAAAGGGUGCGGCCAGGCGGGCAGAGUGUGGGGCUGCUCCCAUGCAAUGAGGGAGGUCUACAUGUGAGGCUCACCUGUUGCUUAUCAGUUGCUGAGACUCCAAAUCACCACUGCUCAGAAGGAAAGAACAACUGGGAUGGGGCAAGGAGAAGAGGAAGAAGGGGAAAGAUUAUGUGUGUGUGUGUGUGUGCACGAUAGAUAACUAUAGUACUGACUUUUGUGAGUUCACCUAAAAGAGCAGUUUGUGCUUUCAUUGUUUGAUCAUGUUUUGUGCCUAAAUCUUGUAACCUGAGCAACUACCUCUAAGAUAACAAUAUGCUAUAUAUUAACUAGUGUUAAUUUCCUACUAUUGUUUGAAACUCUGUGUCAUUUCUAUCCAUUUUUUGUUUUUAAG